CUGGUUUAGAAGGUGUUUCAACCUGGGCGAGGCUGCGAUUGACUUUCAGAUUAUCUUUGGCUGAUAUGUGAGGGCAAUUAGAGGCUUAACUUGAGCAGAGUGGGGCACCGUUGAGUUGAGUUUCGGGACUUCUUGUGGCUGGAUUGAGCUUAG